rnacentral:rRNA from 1 species
GACAAACGCUGGCGGCGUGCUUAACACAUGCAAGUCGAACGGAAAGGCCCUGCUUUUGUGGGGUGCUCGAGUGGCGAACGGGUGAGUAACACGUGAGUAACCUGCCCUUGACUUUGGGAUAACUUCAGGAAACUGGGGCUAAUACCGGAUAGGAGCUCCUGCUGCAUGGUGGGGGUUGGAAAGUUUCGGCGGUUGGGGAUGGACUCGCGGCUUAUCAGCUUGUUGGUGGGGUAGUGGCUUACCAAGGCUUUGACGGGUAGCCGGCCUGAGAGGGUGACCGGCCACAUUGGGACUGAGAUACGGCCCAGACUCGUACGGGAGGCAGCAGUGGAGAAUAUUGCACAAUGGGCGGAAGCCUGGUGCAGCAACGCCGCGUGCGGGAUGACGGCUUUCGGGUUGUAAACCGCUUUCGCCUGUGACGAAGCGUGAGUGACGGUAAUGGGUAAAGAAGCACCGGCUAACUACGUG